CAGUCAGGGCACACCUGAAGAUUUCUUUUUUCCACUAUAAAGCGUUCACACUCCUUUGCUUGCCUUUUGGUCUCUGCCAAACCCCUUGAUAGUGGCUGACUCCCUUACUGUAGCAAGCGCUGAAUAAAUAUUUUCUUGUUUUCAUUUCAUUUCAUUUUCACUGAUUUCCACAAACCUUCUACCUAGCCCAUAUUUAGAUUUCUCUGCUCAUUCUCAAAAUACUUUCUCAAUAUCCAUUGUUUGAGUCAGCGUCCCAGCAACAUCCACACAUCAGCGGCUACAAACGGACGUUACCUAAUUCAGCCGUUCCUUCCCCAAUUAUCAGAUAGAUGCUCCUGCUUGGGAGAACGUUUCCUCAUCAAUUAUCACAAACAAAAUCCCGGUUCCCAGAACAGCGCCAGCAACAAAGCAGGCUUUGAAGAUGCUUUCAAAAGAAAGAAAAAAAGCAAAGAGAGAAGGAUUGGUUGAUUCAGUGAAUGAAUGGCAUCCUCAGGAUAAGAGCCCCGACUCACAACAAACCCGGGCUCUCCUCCCUCACCACCUUCUAGCCCAGUAUUGCUCAAACCUGCUGGUAAGAUGAUGAGAAACACCGGGGGAGCUUUCAAAUCCCAGAUUCCAGGAGCGGAGGGAGUUUGCGGUCUCUGGAAGCAGGCACAAUUUUACCAGAUUUUACCCAGGAUCGUAUUUAAACAACGGUCAAAGUGCAGGAGGCACAGCCAAAGCCUGAGACAGGCAGAGAGAUACAUUUCUUGGAGAAGAUGAAAAGGAGACACUCCCAGAGGAUGUCCCCACGGCCACCUUCAAGCCAUCCACAGUCCUUGAGGACACCUUCCCUGUGCAUGGACGUCCAUCAUGGUGACUCUCCCAGCACCUUCGGUUCCGUGGAUCCCAGAGGGAACCCAACACCAAAUCCCCGCACCCCUCCAGGUCUUCCCGUCUCAGGUUCCAGGGGAAAGGAAAGGCAGCUCAUGAAUUUGGCACCGUCACGCAUUUUUCCUCAUCCUUUCCUAGGACAGCAAAGGGGGCAGCACCAGCCAAAAACCAUUUUUUACCUAAGACCAGCUAAAGGAGUUAAUGUUCAGUAAGGCUCAACACCUAACAAAUUCCCAACUUAAGGAACUUUCUCUAUUUUUCCCAGCUUUAU
rnacentral:lncRNA from 1 species